AGGAGAAGGGUUUUUGCUGGCUAACAGUUUUGAUGAUUUUUUUUCCUGUGGUUUGUUUGUUUUUUACCUCGCUGCUUUCACUUGGGGUAAACGAGUAGACAAGGGCAGGUGGUGGUUGGUAGAAAAGACACAUUCAUGUCAGAGCAAAAGCCCCAAAGACUAGAAUUCUACAUACCCUGUGCAUCAUGCCCUGUGCCCUCUACCCCAUGUCUUUUCUUGCCCCCUUUAGUAACAUGGCAUGGGGAUGAAGCCUUGUACUCUUGGGUUUGGGUGGGGUACUCUAUACCAAGUCCUAUCACAUUUCAAGAGUGGGUGAGGUCCUGAAUGAAGGCUGCACAUGGAGUCAAUGGAUGUGCCAGGCUCUAGAGGAUCUAGAGAUGAGAGUCAGAGUUAAUGGGCAAAGGCUAAAUUAGAACUUGACUGUUCUGUAGAUGAGAUGUGAGCUAAACAUGAUGUGAACAUACAGAAAUGAAAUAUAUUAUUUUACCUAUUGUCACUAGAAUACUGCUAUACUCUUGUAAUUGAUUUAGCCUCUAUUUUUAACUAUUUGUUUUAAAACAAGACCCUUACUCACUAUGAAUCCAUUAUAGAAAGUAUUAGCUCAGUGAUUAUUUUCCCUACUAUACAUUUUUUGUUCUGUGUAUAUGCAUACAUGUUCACAUUCAUGGAUACCUGAGGUUGAUAUCAGCUGCUUUUUUCAAUGACUCUCCACCUUAUUUUUGAGAUAGGGUCUUUCACAGAUCAGUUAUGUUACCUGGACAGUAAGUCCCUGGGUCCUCCUGUCCCUGCCUUCUCAGUGCUGGGAUUGCAGGCACAUACACAAUUCAUGGGAUCUGAGGAUCAAACUUGAAUCCUUGUGCUUGUGUGGACAUCAGUCAAUGACCAGGCCAUCUCCCUAGAUCUCUGCUGCAUUUAGUGGAACCUGUACCCCUUCCACUGUAUUUAUUUUUAUAUCCUAAACAUUAUUAUUGGCUCAUAAUAUAUGUUCAGUAAAGAUUUAUUGAGUGACUAUAUAAAAUGAACACCAUUAUCUAAGAGAACAGGACAUGGAAGCUACUUAACUGUUAAUACUUAGAAUACUGUAGGUGAAGCACAUAUAUAUGGCCGCAUGGUGACUAAGCACUGUGAUGCUUUCGUUCACUUUUUAGGUGACACGCGAGCUCUGAGAUUUGGCUUGUCUAAGCAUUGGAACCAGGGUUUUAAUUCUUAAUGUUCUAGAUGUCUUUGCAAGACAAGGCGUUGCUAGGUCAUGAUGGAAAGCAAUCAUACUCUGGAUGGGAGCUGGCUCAGUGGGAAAAGUUUUUGCUGCACAAGCAUGAGGACUCCGGCUCCAUCCAUAAGACUUGCACAACAGGAAGGUAUGGUGGCACAUGCUUAUCAUCCCAGCACCCAGAGACAGAGACAAGAAGAUCCCUGGAGCCCUCCGGUAUGUCAGCCCAGUCUAAUUGGUGAACCUUAGCCCAGUGACAGACCUCGUCUCAAGAAAACAGAACAGUGCAUGGUACUGAAGGAUGUGUUCUGACUUCCACAUACACUGGCAUCUAUGUAGAGUUGCAUACUCUGCACAUACACGCACCACAGAGAUUAUACAUACAUUAUAUACAUGCAUCACAGAUACACAUCAUACCACACACUCAUACACACAUACACACUCACAUACACAUACCUCCCUACACACAUAUACCACACACAUGCAUACCAUGUCCAUUUACUACUCUCCCACCCCACACAAGAGUUAUAUUCUGUGAAGUCUUACUAUGUAGCCCAGCUUGGUCUUUCUACCUUUCUACCUCUGAAUGUUAACAAAAUAUAUAGGAUCGAGCCCCUAGCCCCAGCAUGAAAGUGUUUUCCUUUUAUUUUGGUGUCUAACUUUUGCGGCAGGUAUACUUCUAGACUCUGAGAAGUGGGGGAUGGAGAAGCACAGACUAUGAACUUGUUACUCAAAGGUAACAUAAUUUCUUUAUCUUAUCCUUAUGUCUGACACCACUGUCUACAUAAUCCAGAGAAGCAGAGCAGAAGUUAAGCCAGGUUUCCUCAGCCUAAAGCAGGAUGGAUUAGAGGCUGUAGCAAUAAAGUCAAAACACAAACAUGUUUUCACAUACGUGUUCAAUUACACUUAAGGCCCUGCUUAUUUCCCUUAGAACUUCUCAGUGUCUGUCCAAUAAGAAGGGGAGGUUGAUUUGGGAUAUGAAUUUUAUGAAUAUAUAACAAAGCUGACUGCUGGGAAGUACCAUUUUAAUAUAGAUAAUUUAUCUGUGAACCCAAUGUCGUUUUUAUUGAAGUCAUUUUUCUCCUUAUUGAGUUGAGGAUGAAUGUUCUCUACUGAAUUCUGUCAUCAUGGCCAGACCAAGUUCAUUAACAGGACGACACACCAUUAACCAACCACACAGAGUUGUGGGAGAUUGAUGCCACAGCCCUUCGGCCACCUGCUUCUCUGCCACCUGAAAGGAUGAGUUCUCAGAACUGCCACCCGGAAGGAGUGACUUUGGCAGGGACUAUGAGAGAAGAAAAUGAUGUUGUCUCUGGCUUUGGGACCUAACCAUUGCCCCAUAACUGCUGUUUUAUGUUCCUUAAAUUCAGAAAAGCAGGUGUCCUUCAGGCCUGGAGAGCCAGUCUACACUUUGCAAGUCUAGGCUAAAAUGAAGUUGUAAGUUAAAGCAAGCUAUACAAAGUGGAGGAAACAGAUUAACAUGUCUGAUUAUUCAUUACACCUUUGUGGAGCCCCUGCCAGACACUUGCUGUUUCCAGAGACUGAAUAGAGUUGGCUGUCUGGUGAAGGGGCUGUGUUGCCUCAGGCUCUGCCCUACAGCUGUUUGAUUUCCCUGUGAUUUUGAAACUAUCUCUCUAGAACUAUCAGGUAGGCAGGGACAUGGAUGCCCCAAGGACAUCAGUGUUCCGGGCUCACUUCUCUGCACACUGUCUCCUUUGUGAUCUGAAUUGGAUUGACUUGUGUUCAGAUCAUGUGUAUCUUUGGAAAGGGAGAACUUUUGAUGCAGGCUCCUGUGUACAGGUCACUAAAGAUAAAUGAGGACUUGUCUUAUUUCUAACUAGAAAAAUAUGUCUUCAUAUAUGCACCUAAAAGAACAUGUAAAACAAACCCCCCCCCACACACACACACAACACACAGGCAUGCACGCAUGCACCAAAGAGACAUGUUCUCCAUCCUCUCUUAACAAAUGGCAAAAUUCUAGUAGAUCUGGAGCUUUUUCUUACAUUAAAAUUUAAAUACAGACACUAAGAUGUUGAAUUGUUAUUUGAGACAGGGUUUCACUAUGUAGUUCUGACUGGUAUGGUACUUGAUAUAUUAGUCCAGGAUAGCCUUAAAUAGAGAUCUAUUUGACUCUGCCUCUUGAGUGUUGGGAUUAAGCGUGUAAGCUACAAUACUUGGAGGAUAUUGACUUUUUGAUACAGAUGUGUUUUUCUGGUUCUCUCACACAAUUCUUGCCCAUUCUUCCUUUCCACAUUACUCUGAGUGUGCCUUCUACCUGUCUGAAGCACAUAUCCACUGGCUUGGCCCGGUCUUUGCUUAGGUCCCUCAGGUCUAUUAUGCCACCUGCAGAUCUGGCAGAAAGCACCUUUAAUGCCUCACCAGGAGCACAGCUACUCAGUAGCUACAUAAAUAUCUCUAGUUCUGCUGUGUCAUUCUAUGAUGCCUUCCAGGGCGUCCUGGCUGGUUCUAUAUCGACCUUUUCUGGUGGCCCUUUCUUCUGGUCUUAAUCUGAUUCUUUCUUCUGACUCCUAUAAAAAGGACCUUCCACGGUCCCCCUUUUACAUAUCUCUGAAUCAAUCCUGAGAGGUAGGUGGGCAAGAUCUGGCAGUGGUGGUGAUAGGUUAUAGCUAUUGUCCUCCAGACUGAGGCCCCAGAGCUAAAGUACUCUUCAAUUUGUCCAAGAUUGAACAGCCAGGAAUGAACAUAACUGUAACUCUGGUCUUCGUUCUACACUCAACCUAGCAGAUUGUUGUCUUUCACAUGUAAGAAAGUUGUAAAGCUGUGGUUGUCUGAACAAUAUUGCUGAGAGUGACCCCUGAGGAUCCACCCCCUAAGGGACCACUGGUAAUGAAUGCACGUUGGGGCAUGAUGUGUCCUUUUCAUCAGUGGUGUAGCCAAUGAAGUGCUCUUGCUCCAGCAAAUGACCUUUCACUGAUCCCAUGCAAGAAACUUUAAAUAAACUCCAUGGGUCACACACCAAAAAGAAACUCCAGAAAACCAGAAACUCCAUGGGUUUCUGGCUCCUGUUGAGGGAGAAAGGAAAACGUGUCCCUUGUUUCCCUUUGUGUUGGUUUCUUAGUGGGUUUGCUUUAUAGGGUCUUAUUGGAUACACAUUAUGAAGAUAUAUUCUUCCUAGAUAAAGGCAAGAUAAAUCCCCAUUUAUCUCUAGCAACCAUGUGCAGGAGCCUGCAUCCAAAGAAACAUGUGAUCUGAACACAAGUCAAUCCAAUUCAGAUCACAAAGGAGACUGUGUGCAGAGAAGUGAGCCUGGAACACCGAUGUCCUCGAGGCAUCCACGUUCCUGCCUAGCUGAUAGUCAGAGUAGGAGAUGGAUUUAUUGAGAAGAAGAGUUUAGAGAGGGAUGGAAGCAGAUGAAAUAUGGAGAUGUGUGCCUGAGUGUGUGUGUGUGUGUGUGUGUGUGUGUGUGUGUGUAAAAUAACGUAAAUUUAUUAACUAGUUGUAUGAAACUGUCAAACAGCAAAAUGUUAGAAAUAAAUCUUUGUUGUUCCUCUUGCAGACCAUUUGCAUCAUUUGACCUUCACAAACUCAAUGUCAACCUGUCUCGGUGUGUAUAUCUAUGCCAUUCACCAGCUAAGACAGAUACUUGUAAACAGGCAGUCUUCUUUGAUUGUCCCAGCCCUCCCUGCAAAGUUUUCAAAGAUACAACAAACCGCUGUUCACUCUUACACAGGAUUGCUGUAAUUUAUUUUACCUGAGGGCAAAAUCUUAGCUAUUUAGGAAGUCUUAUAAAAAUCUCCAGAUGGCUUAAUUAUACUAUUUUAGGAACCAAGGACAUAAAAAUAAAAUGGAUAGAUAAGCACAACUCAGAAUCAUAGAGGAACAAAGAGCAAAAGUCAAAAAAAAUUAUCUGAGUCUUCAAAGAUGUGUGCUUCUGACUCAGGGUGAGACUCAAGCAACAGGAAGAACACGAAAUUCCUCCACCUGAUAAAGAACAGUUAACAUCAGAGCAUGGAGGAAAUCCCUCAGUCACCUUGAAUCCUGACUCUUCCACAAUCUAUAGACAAGUAACAGAAGACUGUUCUGCAAGCUGAGAAGUCACCCAGCAGUGAGGAGAGGCUUUAUUCUAAACGGACCUGGUGUUCUACAGAACCACAUGAGUCUAGGGAUCAGGGAAGAAGAAGUGAAAGAAUGUAAGAUCCAGAGGUGAUGGAGGACUUUAUGGAAUCAAGGCCUUCUGGAUACAUAUAAAAACUCUGGACACAUAUAUAAACUCAGUAAGUCUGAGGCAGCAUGCAUAGGACCUGCAUGGGUCUGCAGAUUGGGUCCUAGAGUUGAAAGGAGACGUGGGCGCAUGCCCCUAUCCCUAACUCAGAAGCUAUCUCCAACUGAUAACCACUUGCAAAUGAAAAGCCAGUUUUCUCCAAGGGACUCUCACUAGGCAACAAAUCGCUUAUAAGGUUAGGGCCCAUGUCCAGCAGUCAAAGGUCAACACUAAAUGACCUAAAUAAAUGCUAUUGUAUUAUAUUAUUGUAUUGUAUUACUACUCUUUGAACUCCUGUUUGUUUUCUAAGGGAAGUCAGAAAGGGGUUAAUCUGGAUGGGAGGGGAUGUAGGGAGGAACUGGGGGAGGGGAAACUGUAAUCAGAACAUAUUGUAUGAAAAAGAAUCUAUUUUCAAUUUAAAAGUGGGGGCAGUAAUGGACCAAAAAUUAUAAAUGGGGUGGGAGGUGGGAAGAUAUGCAAAAAAACUAAAACUAAUGAAAACUAAUUAAUACUGCAUGUCUUUUGAGAAAGUAGAAAAUCUGCUACUGUAGACAUUUAUCAAAAUAUAUACAUACAGAUAUAUACAAAGAGUUUAAAUAGAGCUACUUUAUAAUGGGGUGAUAAUGUUCUGUUAGACACUUCAGGCUAACAAGUGAAAGGCCCAGGUUCAGAAAUGGGCUACUUCUUUAGAGCUAUGGCCAGUGAGGUUCCAUAGAUCCACAAAUAGUCUUUUGCCAGUGCUCUAGGUUGCCCUCCAGAACUUGAUAAGACCUUAUUGAUAAACACACCUCAUACCUGAGACAAAGAAUAUGGAGAAAUCAAGUUGGUUUCAUCCCUACUGGUUAGUUUCCUUGGUACUGCCAGGCAGAGAAAGGUUAUCAUCAAUAUUACUCAGUCAUGCAGCUUGUGAGUCAUAAUAAUGGCCCAUUUGCUAAGACAUGGCCACUGGUGCAUUAGUGGCACAAAAGUUAUGGGAGCAAACAAUCACUCUCUGAUUGAAUUUAAGGCCCAUUCCAUAAGUUAAAACUGAUACCUGGCAUUAUUAUCUGGGCCAAGAACUUGAUAAUGGAACUACUAGCAUUAUGGAUAUAAGUAUAACUUACUAAAUGACUUCUUUUUAUACCCAUAGAUUAGUACACCUCUCAAACUUCAACAGAGAAUCUUCUUUUUGCAGGAGAUAGCAACUAAUACAGGUACCUAUAAUUGGUCAAGGCACAGAGAAUGAGAAACGGUGGAUUGCUUAUUCCUAAAGGGGUCAUCAUACCAUAUCCCUCUUCCUAGGGCUCAGGGAUCAUUGUAAAAGAAGGGGCAGAAGAACUGUAAGAGCCAGAUUUGGUCGAUGACUCUUAGGAAAGCGUUUUGCAGACACAAGAGGGAGGUUGCAGAUGAGAACUUUCACCAGUUUUGACAACAUGCCCAAGUCCUACCCAAGCCAGACAAAAUCUCAGCAUGGAUGUAAGGGGUGGUCACAAAGCCCUACCCCUAGCUAAGCUCUAUGGGCAAUUGGCAGCUUCUGGAAGAGUCAGUUUUCUUUGAGGAUUGGCCCCUGAUAGUUUGGCAGGUUUCAGUGAAGGGCUCCAGACCUUUUGUGUUUGGGUAUCACAAAUUGGACUUGGUGGUUUUAAAAAUUAAGAAAAACAAGUACAAAGUUGGAUAAGUAGGGAGGAGGAUGAAUCUGGAAGGAGCUGAGGAAGUGAGGAAAAUGGUAUUCUCACAGAAUUAAUUUUUUUAAAGGGAAAGGAAAACUUUAUAUGAGUUGAGGUCAUCCUAUGUACAAGAUGCUGUUACUCAAGGGCUUUCAUUGCAUAUCCAGUGGGGCUUUUGUUUUUAACCCGGUCUUGCUAGUUCAUUUUGGUUGGUCUGAAAUUGCAUCAGACUUGGAGCAAUCCUCCUGCUUCUGCUUCUCUAGCUCGGGGGUUACAGGCCGGUGUCACCCAAGAGGAUUUUUGAAGUAAAUAUUUUGACACAACAUGUGAGAAGUGCCACAGUAAGGUGCAGAUUAAACACUGUGGGUGUACGGAGGCGGUGAAGAUUGUUUCAAGUAGGAAGACUUGGAAACAUUCAGGGGAAAGGUAGCAUUUGAUUGGUGCCUUAACACAAGAACAAAUUUAGACAUGUGGAGAUAACGAGAGAAGCAAUCUAGAAGGAAGCAAAACCAGGGAAAAUAUAAAAGAAAUUUAGUGGCGUUCAGUAAGCUAGAGGCUCUUGUGAAAGACAUUCAAAUGAACACAAAGGAAGAAGUUGGCUGGAAUCAGGGCCUGGGGAUCUCAAUAGCUGACUUGAAAGUGUGUGUGAGUUUUAUGCACAGAUUGAGAGGGACAACUGAAUAUGUUUAAGAAUGAUUGUAUCUGACCUGCCCUUUGACAAAUGACUCCAACCCUUUCCAAAAUGGCUGGGGUGGGGGGAUGCAGAGGGAACAUGAGGUGUUGGUUUAGGUAGGCACUGUGGAAUCCACAGCAGGUCUGAGCUAAGGUGCUGAAGGUGAAGAGGACAUGACAGUGGACAACUGGGGAAGAAUCAGCAGACUUCCAUCCCUGUUCAGACGUGUUUCCAGAAAUAAGGAGGUCCAUGGUUAGAAGGGAGCUGAGACCUUCAGAAGAAGCAGAAACAGAGGGUGUGGGGCUUCAGGAAUCACGGGAAAUAGUAAGUUUGAAGUUCAUUUUACACAGCCCCAAGCAGGUAUGUCCAGGAAGAGGGAAUGGUCCAGCAGAAGUGGGAAAGAAUCACCGUGCACAGUAUCUGAUGGAAGCCAUGAGCUUUUUUCUACAAUGAUUGGCUAGAGGGCCCCCAGCUUUACCCCGAGAAUUUAUUGGUGAGUUCUUCAUUCAUUCUUUCUUUGUAGACACUGCUUCAUUUGCAUUCAGUGACAUGCAUCUUUGUGUGGGGGACUCUGAGCUUUGUCUCCCUCUACAAGGUCACUGAUAGAUGCGGGAAACUAAAAUUUCUGUCACUCAAGUAGCUCUUCCUCAGGUAAAGAAGCAACCAGUGUUCAGAAGAGACCCCAUUCAGAGAGUGGGUGGUGUUCCUAGGAAGGGGUUGCUACUAGUAUUAUAUUUUAUAUAAAAUUUUAUAUUUUAUAUUUGCUCCACAGAGAUGAGGGAAAAAGUGAAAUUUUAAUAUAUUAAGAAUGUAUUGAGGGAAUAUAUUGAGGGAAUGUAAUUUUCUUUCUGAUUAUAUAGGUUUCUCUGUGUGUGUGUGUGUGUGUUUGUGUUUUAAUGUGUGUAUAUGUAUGUAUGAAAGCCAGAAGUCAGUCUUGGAUGUUGUUCACUUGGUUUAUUGAGAUGGGGUCUCUCACUAGAACCUGGACACAUCAAUUAGGCUAGGCUGACUAGCCAGCAAACCCAGGGUAUCUGCUUGUUUCCACCUCCCCAUCACUGGGAUUAUAAUCGCUUGCCAGCAGACCUGCCUCUUUAGAUGAGUGCUGAGGACUGAAGGAAGACCCUUGGAGUCUGCAUGACAAACACUUUAUUGAGCUCUCUCCCAGCUUCUUGAUUGCACAGCUUUUAAGUCUCCAAUACGCAGUAGCAUUGCAGGGCAAGGAAGUAGGACAUGCUUCCACUGCUUGACUUCAGCAAGACAUAAUUCAUCAAAAUGAAAGGGCUGUCUGCAUGAGAAGUAAUCCCUGACAGUUCCCUUCUUCGGAAAACUUGAAUGAAAUUAUCUCUGGCUCCAUCACUACUUCUGAGGCGCCAUAUCCAUGUCUACUUUACCAAGUCCGCAAACAAUUAGCUUUAUUUAUUGUCCCUAAUUUAAAGUACAAAAUGAGUCAUAUUAAAGUGAACAAACCACACGCAGUGAGAGCUGUGGAGGUGGAAUACUCCCCCACUUCCCUAAAAACUGUAAUGUCUACAGUUAUGAAACUAUAGCUUUUCAUUAACGAGUUGUGCUAUUACACAAUGGAUACACUGAUUAUCAUCCAUUAGUAGGUAACGAGCAACAACCGAAGCAUUGAAAAAUUGUAAUUAUGGUUAUUUAUCAUUGGCGAUAUAGUGAUAUUUAUGAUUCUAAUAAGUUAAAAGAUCAUUUUACACACAGAGGCAUAGAGACCCGUGAUGAAUGAUUGGGGCAUGUGAGUGGCUAUCUGACCACAGGAUUUUUUUAGUUCUCUGACUUGACUGUGAACCCGGAAGAGAGAAUGAAUAUGACUCAGUAAACAGGGCAAGAACCAGCUGCGUGUGAUGGGAUGCUGGUGUGGAGAGUUUCAGGCACCAUGCAUGCCUUAUAAUUUAUAGGAACCUGUGGUGUGGACUUUCUCAAGAGCAGCUGCAUGGAAAGCUGUCUCUUGUUUUCCCCUCUGCCUGGUGUGAACUUAGCAUGAGAAGACAUACAUAAGAUACACUGUGGUUGCUGCAAAGCCGCAAUCCCCAGGCUGUUGGCAUCUUGUGUGAGUAACUUUAUCAGCGGAGAAGGGCAAAGAACAAACGAGCAUUUUGUAUCAGAAUUGUGCUGGUGUUUUGCUCUCACGGGCAAGCAGACUGGUUAAGUUUCCUCCUCAGGCAAGGGUAUAUGUCCUGCUGUAUCCCAAACUGACAAAUCAUAUACCAAAAGAGAGAUUAAUUUUAUUUUUAAUCACAACAACCUAUGAGCUUCAGUACACGUUGGCUGGGGCAGAGAAAAAGAAAGCAUCAAUAUUUUCACUGUGCAGUCACUACUGCUAUACCCUCCAUGGUCUGUCUCCAUAUUUCCUAUUUAGCUCAGGCCCAAGAGACCAAGAUUUUUCCACUUUGAAGCCUUCAUCUUCAAAUACUUCAAGGCUCUGGAGCCUUAGAGGCACAGACACUGAUUCAUUACUCUUCUGCCUUACGCACUACCCUUCGCGAUUUCACAUCAGAAUGGCACCAGCUGUCAUAUUUUGAGGGAGGCUAGAGUUGGGAUUUACCAAGUCUAUCUUGGUUUAGCCUGGGUGUCUAAAGUUUGUGUUGUCUGUUUGUCCUAGCUAGAUACCCUCUGGGCCUCCAUUCCUGUGCUUGUUAAGGAGUCAAAGGCAGAAGGGCACACCCCACAGUCAGGCAGAGCCUUGUGUUUUGAACCUCUGCAUCGAGACAUGUACUUUUCCUGAAGCAGCAUACUCCCCCUGCUUAUUAAAAAGUCUAAACCACCACAACCAAGUCUCACCUUCUGAUGAUGCAGAAUAAGUCAUUGUCUCAAUUAAACUGCUUCCAGCACUGGUGAUAUGCUGUAGUGAAUGACAGUUAAAUAGUCUAUAUUUUCAUUUUACCUAAAAACAUCUUCUAGGGAGGCCGGAAGCUGUGCAUGCCAGGAACCUGGGAUAGACUUGCUUUUUAUUUCCAUAUCAGUUUCAUUAGGUUGAGUAUACUAGGAAGGCUUUAGCAUUAAGUCAUAACAGUUAAUUCUUAAUAAAACCCAAAUUAGUAAAGUCAAGGGGGAUGAAUUAUAUUUAAGUGGCUUUGACUUAAACUUUUAAUUUGACUUGCAGCAGCUGGAUUUCGAGUUUCUCUUUCAUAUUCUGUCUUCCCUGGUUUCAGUCACAUCUAUCCACAUAUUAUCAUCUGUUACCCAUAUAUCAUCUGCCAACCAUCCAUCCAUCAUCCAUCACCUAGUCAUCAAUGCAGCAUGCAAGCAAGUAUUCCACUAUCUAUCCAUCUAUCCAGCCAGCAUCUAUGCAUCCAACUAUUCAUCAUUUGUUAUCCAUCCAUCAUCUAUUCACCCAUCUGGCAUGUGUGCAUGUAUGCAUGCAUCCAUCCAGCACCCAUGCAUCUAUUAAUCAUCUGUUAUCUAUCCAUCACCUAUCUACUAUCCAUUCACCCAGAAUGCAUGCAUCCGCCCAUCCAUCCAGCACCCAUGCAUCUGUCUAACCAUCAUUUAUCCACUCACCAUUCAUCUACUGCCUAUCCAUCAUCAUCUAUUCAUCCACCUAGAAUGUAUGUAUCCAUCCAGCCGUCCAGCCAGCACCUAUGCAUUAUCUAUUAUCCAUCCACCAUGUCUAUCCACCCACCCAUCCUUUCAUUAUCCACCAUGAAGAUCUGUGUGGAUGAGAAGCUAUAGAGCUUUCUCUGCUUAUCUACUGUAAGGGUAAACUGCAUCUGUGCCCUUUUAGUUAUGAGACUGGGUCCUCUAUCUCUUGUUCUCCGUGUGGCUGUGACUGACAACACUAAUAAUCCAGCAGUCCCCCUUUGGCCUAUGUUCGGCAGGAAGUACCACUCUGAGUGACACCUGUCCAGAAAUCACUGUAGGUACUGAGAGGCCUAUUAGCCACAGAGAGGAAGGACUCUAACUGAGGAAGACAGUCGUUGGAGGCUGGGCUGAGAGUGAGAGGUAAUUUUCACCUCCAAGGAUCAUGUUUGGAAGAAUGAAAAGGGUCUCUGCCUUUCUUUACACUCUGUUGUUAAAAUCCUUUGAAAGUUUGGCUUCCAGCGGGUGUGUGUUUGGGAGAGGUCAGUUCUCUGCAUGAGGCAUGCUGCCUUACUGAGUUUGGGUUUCUUUGCUUGUAAAUAAUAUCUCACACAUGGAUCAUUAUGGGAAAAAAAGGGUAUUUUACAGAAAUCAUUCUUUCCACAUUACUUAAUUUGCUUCUUGUGGUGGUCUGAAUAUGCUUAGCCCAGGGAGUGUCACUACUAGGAGGUGUGGCCUUGUUGGAGGAAGUGUGUCACUCUUGGGAUAGGCCUUGAGACCCUUCUCCUUGCUGGCUGUGAGACAGUCUUCUCUUGUUUGUUUUUGGAACAAGAUGUAGAGCUCUCAGCUCCUCCAGUGUCAUUCCUGCCUGUACUCUGCCAUGCUUCCCACCAGGAUGACAAUGAACUGAACCCAAGAAUCUGUAAACCAGCCCCAAUCAAAUGUUGUCCUUUAUAAGAGUUGCUUUGGUCAAGGUGUCUCUUUCCACCUUGUCAUUUCUGAUCUUAGUAAAACUGUGACCAGGAUGGAAGUUCUAGAGGAUCCCUGUCAAGAUCUU
rnacentral:sRNA from 1 species